CACGUAGGGUCCGAGCGUUGUCCGGAAUUACUGGGCGUAAAGCGUGCGCAGGCGGUUGGGUCAGUCGCUAGUGAAAGCCCCACGCUCAACGUGGGAAUGGCCAACGAGACGGCCCGACUGGAGGCAGGGAGAGGCCGGUGGAAUUCCGGGUGUAGUGGUGAAAUGCGUAGAGAUCCGGAGGAACACCAGUGGCGAAAGCGGCCACCUGGACUGCACCUGACGCUGAAACGCGAAAGCUAGGGGAGCGAACGGG
rnacentral:rRNA from 1 species